rnacentral:rRNA from 1 species
GACGAACGCUGGCGGCGUGCUUAACACAUGCAAGUCGAACGGAAAGGCCUCUUUCGGGGGGUACUCGAGUGGCGAACGGGUGAGUAACACGUGAGUAACCUGCCCUUGACUUUGGGAUAACUUCAGGAAACUGGGGCUAAUACCGGAUAGGAGCUCCUGCUGCAUGGUGGGGGUUGGAAAGUUUCGGCGGUUGGGGAUGGACUCGCGGCUUAUCAGCUUGUUGGUGGGGUAGUGGCUUACCAAGGCUUUGACGGGUAGCCGGCCUGAGAGGGAGACCGGCCACAUUGGGACUGAGAUACGGCCCAGACUCCUACGGGAGGCAGCAGUGGGGAAUAUUGCACAAUGGGUGGAAGCCUGAUGCAGCAACGCCGUGUGCGGGAUGACGGCCUUCGGGUUGUAAACCGCUUUCGCUCAUGACGAAGCUUUGUGUGACGGUAGUGGGUAAAGAAGCACCGGCUAACUACGUGCCAGCCGCCGCCGUAAAAC